rnacentral:rRNA from 1 species
AAAUAGAUACCCCGGGGUAGUCCACACCGUAAACGUUGGGCACUAGGUGUGGGGAGGAAUCAACCCUUUCCGUGCCGUAGCUAACGCAUUAAGUGCCCCGCCUGGGGAGUACGGCCGCAAGGCUAAAACUCAAAGGAAUUGACGGGGGGCCCGCACAAGCGGCGGAGCAUGUUGCUUAAUUCGAGGCAACGCGAAGAACCUUACCUAGGUUGAACUACGCAGGAACAGCCACAGAGAUGUGGUGUCCUUCGGGGCCUGCGAUAGGUGGUGCAUGGCUGUCGUCAGCUCGUGUCGUGAGAUGUUGGGUUAAGUCCCGCAACGAGCGCAACCCUUAUCCUAUGUUGCCAGCACGUAAUGGUGGGGACUCGUGGGAGACCGCCGGGGUCAACUCGGAGGAAGGUGGGGACGACGUCAAGUCAUCAUGCCCCUUAUGUCUAGGGCUGCAAACAUGCUACAAUGGCUGGUACAAAGGGCUGCGAAACCGCGAGGUCGAGCGAAUCCCAAAAAGGCCAGUCUCAGUUCGGAUUGAAGUCUGCAACUCGACUUC